rnacentral:rRNA from 1 species
GCAAGUCGAACGCGAAAGUCGCUUCGGUGGCGAGUAGAGUGGCGGACGGUUGAGUAACGCGUGGGAAUCUACCUCGUCGUGGGGCACAACCCGGGGAAACUCGGGCUAAUACCGCAUACGUCCUACGUGAGAAAGGGGGCCUCUGCUUGCAAGCUCUCGCUAUGAGAUGAGCCCGCGUCGGAUUAGCUUGUUGGUGAGGUAAAGGCCCACCAAGGCGACGAUCCGUAGCUGGUCUGAGAGGAUGAGC